AUGAGUAUUUUAAGUUGGAAUUGUCGAGGAGCGGGGAGCUUUCGGACAGUUCGUGAUCUUGUGAGUUUGAUGCAAGCUUACACCUCUUGUAUAGUUUUUCUGUGCGAAAUUAGACAGUCAAAAGAUAGGUUGAAAAGAUAUCGCUCUCACUUGGGGUUGAAAGGUUUUGAUGCCGUUGACAGUAAUGGUCUUACUGGAGGUCUAGCUCUAUUUUGGCACAAAUCUGUGCAACUCGAUCUAAAAGAUAUGAAUGAAGGAUAUAUUGAUGCAUAUGUGAGUUCUACAUCGGGGGAUCCCCCUUGGAGGCUAACCUGCGUCUACAGCGAGCCCAGGAUGAAGGAUUGA
rnacentral:rRNA from 1 species